UGCACAAUGGGCGAAAGCCUGAUGCAGCAAUGCCGCGUGUGUGAAGAAGGCUGCGGGUUGUAAAGCACUUUCAGUAGGGAGGAAACAGUAACGGGCCAAUACCCCGAUACCUUGACGUUACCUACAGAAGAAGCACCGGCUAACUCUGUGCCAGCAGCCGCGGUAAUACAGAGGGUGCAAGCGUUAAUCGGAAUUACUGGGCGUAAAGCGCGCGUAGGCGGCUUGGUCAGUCGGAUGUGAAAGCCCCGGGCUUAACCUGGGAAUUGCAUUCGAUACUGCCAGGCUAGAAUGUAGUAGAGGGAAGUGGAAUUCCGGGUGUAGCGGUGAAAUGCGUAGAUAUCCGGAGGAACAUCAGUGGCGAAGGCGACUUCCUGGACUAACAUUGACGCUGAGGUGCGAAAGCGUGGGGCAAACAGGAUUA
rnacentral:rRNA from 1 species